rnacentral:miRNA from 1 species
CAUGUCUGUAGUCAGAAAAAUCAA